CCUACGGGCGGCAGCAGUGGGGAAUAUUGCACAAUGGGGGAAACCCUGAUGCAGCGACGCCGCGUGGGUGAAGGAGCGUUUCGGCGCGUAAAGCCCUAUCAGCGGGGAAGAAAAUGACGGUACCUGAGCAAGAAGCCCCGGCUAACUACGUGCCAGCAGCCGCGGUAAUACGUAGGGGGCAAGCGUUAUCCGGAUUUACUGGGUGUAAAGGGAGCGCAGACGGCGAUGCAAGCCUGGAGUGAAAGCCCGGGGCCCAACCCCGGGACUGCUCUUGAAACUGGACGGCUGGAGUGCAGGAGGGGCAGGCGGAAUUCCUAGUGUAGCGGUGAAAUGCGUAGAUAUGAGGAGGAACACCAGUGGCGAAGGCGGCCUACUGGACUGUAACUGACGUUGAGGCUCGAAAGCGUGGGGAGCAAACAGGAUUAGAUACCCUUGUAGUC
rnacentral:rRNA from 1 species